GACGAACGCUGGCGGCGUGCUUAACACAUGCAAGUCGAACGGAAAGGCCCUGCUUUUGUGGGGUGCUCGAGUGGCGAACGGGUGAGUAACACGUGAGUAACCUGCCCUUGACUUUGGGAUAACUUCAGGAAACUGGGGCUAAUACCGGAUAGGAGCUCCUGCUGCAUGGUGGGGGUUGGAACGUCUCGGCGGUUGGGGAUGGACUCGCGGCUUAUCAGCUUGUUGGUGGGGUAGUGGCUUACCAAGGAUUUGACGGGUAGCCGGCAUGGGAGGGUGACCGGCCACAAUGGGACUGAGAGACGGACCAGACUCCUAUGGGAGGCAGCAGUGGGGAAUAUUGCACAAUGGUCGGAAGCCUGAUGCAGCAACGCCGCGUGUGGGAUGACGGCCUUCGGGUUGUAAACCGCUUUCGCCUGUGACGAAGCGUGAGUGACGGUAAUGGGUAAAGAAGCACCGGCUAACUACGUG
rnacentral:rRNA from 1 species